UGUUCCAGAACCUACAAAUUUGUACUAAUUAGUGCUAAUUCUGCUACAACGCGUUCCCGUACUCCAAAAACUAGCAAAACUUGCAGCUCUCUCGAGAAAAAAAUGGCGCUGAGUGGUGCACAUUUCUGCUUGUUUUAGCUACAUGAAUUUGGCCGAGCAGAAAUGUGCAAAUUGUAAAUUUGACAUUUAAUUGGCAGGGCUUACAAGGUUGAAAAUGUAUUGAUACAUUUCAAUGUUCGCGCGUGACAACAAAUGUAAAGAAAAAAGAUAAAUUAAAAAACUACAGAAAAACUAAUAUUUGUCGUGCAAAAAACAAAAGCAGAAAAUAUGGAGCAACUGAUGUAUUCACUUUUCGAAAAAUUAAGCUUAAAAUCAAAGAUUUUCGCUUAUUACUACGAACAUUUUCUUUUUAUUUUUUAGGUUGGUAGUCUUCCCAACUUGUGGCAUUAAGUCUUCUAGCAGAUUUAACAUUAACUAAACCGGCGGCUCCAAUGAUGUUAGCUGCUCCGGCUCCGACUCUUCAACGCAUUCUGAAAACAAAACUUUCUAAAUAAACAGCAUUCAAAAAAGAACUCUAGUUUAGUAAAAACUCUUAGAUUUUUUCGAAAUUUUUUCCAGAGGUAGGUAUUUUUACACUGAUCCCGGGAAACUAUUUUUUUCUUGGGGGACGGACCCGGGACCCCAGAUUUUUGACCCAAAAGUCCGGGAUCAAGACCCCGCCUGGACCCGGAUCCACUUACCCGAUAUGGGUAUCGAUUGAAAGCUUAUGGAAAUACCUAUCCAACAAGUGGUCACAUGAAGGGGUUGUAACAACCGUGUUCAAGAAAAACGAAAUGAAAUCGCUGUGUUGACCAUUAAGUGGCGUUGCCGGUAUGCUGGCGUUUAGCGCGGCUAUGGCUCGUCGGAUUGGGGCACGGACGGACGGAAAGUUUUGGAGCUGCAGAAAUGAUAAAAUUUUGGAUUGGUGACUGCCUACGUUUGGAUUAAACGAAAGGUAAGAUUGAGACCUGAUAUUUUCUUUUUCUGUAGGGUACCCUCAACUGGGUCCACACUUUGGUCAGAUUGUUGGAUACGAUAUUAUUUCAAAUGCAUUUAGAUGUGUUUGAUCGUGUCUUCCCGCUUCCAGACUCUAACGUCGUAAAUCGAUGACUGACAGCUCUGCGACAUUGUAUACAACACUCUUCUGCCUUGUGCCAUAGUUGCGUAUGGGAAUAUAAAGGAAGAGUGCACAAAUGGUCAAGGACAGUCACAACGUGACUGCUCAGGAAUCGUAGACAUAUGGUUAGAGUCGGUAAAUCUGGGAUGCUUCCUUUCGUAAUCCAACGGAUUCUUUCUGACCACUGCUGCUGGUGUCUAGACGAGUGGCCUCCUAUGGUUACAUGAAAAAAAAAUUGUCCAUGGUCUCAAUAAUCAAAAGACAUCUAGAGAAGUUACUCAAAUUGAAUAUUGCAUUCACAAAAAGACAAAUAUUACCUAUGAAAUUUGCGUGUCCUUCAAAAACGGGAAAUUAUAUUUGAUGGUAAGUUCGAUUAAUCCUGUUCUCCUUUUUCUUUCUCCAGCAGGUGUACCAUCGACUAGACCUUCAGCUUUUGUCAGAAUGUCGGAUACGUUUUGCAAAUGCACUGAGGUGUAUUUGUUCUUUUUGUCUCCUGGCUUCCAGACUCUAGUGUCGUAAGUCGGGUGAAGGACGGAUCUGCGACCUCGUGUACAACAGUUCCCUGGCCCGUGCCAAAGAGCGAACGGCUACUGUUUCACCGCGAAAGGGGAAUUGCACUAAUGGUCAAAGACAGUCACCAGGUGACUGCUCCGGAUGCGCAGACGUCAACUAGAGUCGGUAAACCCAGAGUGCUUUAAUUCGUACUCUGACUUCACAAUUCUGACAUCUGCUGUUAGAGUCUAGAAGAUUGGACGCCUGUUCGAAUGGAAAAAAACAGGGUUCCGAACUUCACCAAAUAUUCUAGUCGAGACUUACAGCGGUCCUACUGACGGAGUUUCAAAAUCAAACGUAAGAUGUAGUUUUAAUACAAUUUCCUAUUUUUGUAAUUUUUCUCUGAAAAAUUGAGAAAUAUUAUGAGAGCUAUAUUUUUUUUAUAAACUUAAAUUUUAUAUUUCAUAACCAAAAAUUAGCUAAAAAAAAAAACUUUGUAAGUAUGGCUUGAGAUGGACAUUUCA